rfam:Stegodyphus mimosarum contig58815, whole genome shotgun sequence.
GCCUUCGUUGUGUAGUGGUCAGCAUGCUGGGCGCAUAUUCCAGAGGUAUGUGGUUCGAGUCCCGGCAAAGGCA